GUCCCAGUAGCCUAAUGGAUAAGGCGGUAGUUUCCGGAGCUACUGAUACGGGUUCGAUUCCUGUCUGGGACGCCA
rnacentral:tRNA from 1 species